GUAAAAUCUACAAUUCUGGAAUCACAGGUUGAUUAAAUGUGAUGAUACACGAAGAAAGCGCGACCAACCCAUAGACAAAUAGCAACUGGGAACUGACUCCAGAGAUAAAAAAAAGCAGAGCUGGGUUAAGGAGUAACGAGUGGACACUGGACGGUUGCUCGUACUGGAUUUGAAGUGGCAGAAAGUGCUCUACAACACACUGGGUAAGCCUCAAUAAGAAGUUCUUCAUCUGACUUCCAAAAAGUCUGCGGGAAAGGCUCGCUUGGAGGAAUGCAGUGGAGAUGUCCGGCAUCUGGACAUUCCUUCCGCGUGAUGGCACACAUCUGGCUCUUUGGAAUGAGCAGAACAUUUCCCUUCCAGUUUCCCUCCAGAUGUCUGAGGGUACGGAGAUACAGCCCAAGAGUGCAUGGAGUUGAGUUCAUCACACUGCUCAGCUUAUGGUAAGUGGGAGGAUUGAAGGAGGGUUCUCAGUUUAUUAUUCUCUGGUAAAGCAGCCCAGAAUUCAGAUGGUUGGUCUUUUUAUUGUCUUUGUCCUUUCUGUUUCUAUCCAUAUUCUUAAACAUUUAAGAUAACCCAAAAAUAUUUAGACUAUUUGCUCUGUCUUUAGCUAGGUGAGGAAAAUAAACCUUUACUUGAGUCAGAGCA
rnacentral:lncRNA from 12 species